AAAUUGAAGAGUUUGAUCAUGGCUCAGAUUGAACGCUGGCGGCAGGCCUAACACAUGCAAGUCGAACGGUAACAGAAAGAAGCUUGCGUCUUUGACGACGAGUGCCGGACGGGAGAGCAAUGACUGUGAAUCUGCCUGGUGGAGGGGGAUAACUACUGGAAACGGUAGCUAAUACCGCAUAACGUGGCAAGAUCAAAGAGGGGGACCUUCGGGCCUCUUGCCAUCGGCUGUGCCCAGAUGGGCUUAGAUUGUUGGUGGGG
rnacentral:rRNA from 1 species